GGAGGAGGAGGAGGAGGAGAAAGGGAGAGGAGAGGGGAGGUGAUACACGCACUAUAGUAAAAUGUGAAGGACAUUGCUAUUACCUCUCCUCCUCUCCUCCCACCCUCUUUCCUCCCCCCCUCUGUGU